rnacentral:tRNA from 2 species
GGGUCGUUAGCUCAAUGGUAGAGCAGCGGACUCUUAAUCCGUUGGUUGUAGGUUCAAGUCCUAUACGACCCA